rnacentral:rRNA from 1 species
UCGAGAAUUUUUCUCAAUGGGCGAAAGCCUGAAGGAGCGACGCCGCGUGGGGGAUGAAGGGCUUCGGUCCGUAAACCCCUGUCAUUUGCGAACAAACCCUCAUUUUUAACAGGAGUGAGGCUGAUUGUAGCGAAAGAGGAAGGGACGGCUAACUCUGUGCCAGCAGCCGCGGUAAUACAGAGGUCCCAAGCGUUGUUCGGAUUCACUGGGCGUAAAGGGCGCGUAGGUGGCGGGGUAAGUUUGAUGUGAAAUCUCCGGGCUUAACCCGGAAAUGGCAUUGAAUACUAUUCUGCUGGAGGUUUGGAGGGGGGACUGGAAUUCUCGGUGUAGCAGUGAAAUGCGUAGAUAUCGAGAGGAACACCAGUGGCGAAGGCGAGUCCCUGGACAACACCUGACACUGAGGCGCGAAAGCUAGGGGAGCAAACAG